AGCAUAUCAAUAAGCGGAGGAAAAGAAACCAACAGGGAUUACCUCAGUAACGGCGAGUGAAGCGGUAACAGCUCAAAUUUGAAAGCUCGCUCUUUUAGGGUGCGCAUUGUAAUUUGUAGAAGAUGCUUCGGGUGUGGCCCCGGUCUAAGUUCCUUGGAACAGGACGUCAUAGAGGGUGAGAAUCCCGUAUGUGACUGGGUGCUUUCGCUCAUGUGAAGCUCUUUCGACGAGUCGAGUUGUUUGGGAAUGCAGCUCAAAAUGGGUGGUAAAUUUCAUCUAAAGCUAAAUAUUGGCCAGAGACCGAUAGCGCACAAGUAGAGUGAUCGAAAGAUGAAAAGCACUUUGGAAAGAGAGUUAAACAGUACGUGAAAUUGUUGAAAGGGAAGCGCUUGCAACCAGACUUGCGCGCUGAUGAUCAUCCGGGCUUCUGCCCGGUGCACUCGUCUGCGCUCAGGCCAGCAUCGGUUUUGGUGGUGGGAUAAAGGCCUUGGGAAUGUAGCUUCUUUCGGGGAGUGUUAUAGCCCUCGGUGCAAUGCCGCCUACCGGGACCGAGGACCGCGCUUCGGCUAGGAUGCUGGCGUAAUGGUUGUAAGCGACCCGUCUUGAAACACGGACCAAGGAGUCUAACAUCUAUGCGAGUGUUUGGGUGUCAAACCCAUACGCGUAAUGAAAGUGAACGGAGGUGAGAACCCUUAAGGGUGCAUCAUCGACCGAUCCUGAUGUCUUCGGAUGGAUUUGAGUAAGAGCAUAGCUGUUGGGACCCGAAAGAUGGUGAACUAUGCGUGAAUAGGGUGAAGCCAGAGGAAACUCUGGUGGAGGCUCGCAGCGGUUCUGACGUGCAAAUCGAUCGUCAAAUUUGCGUAUAGGGGCGAAAGACUAAUCGAACCAUCUAGUAGCUGGUUCCUG
rnacentral:rRNA from 1 species